AUUGAACGCUGGCGGCAGGCCUAACACAUGCAAGUCGAACGGUAACAGGAAGAAGCUUGCUUCUUUGCUGACGAGUGGCGGACGGGUGUGUCAUGUCUGGGAAACUGCCUGAUGGAGGGGGAAAACUACUGGAAACGGUAGCUAAUACCGCAUAACGUCGCAAGCACAAAGAGGGGGACUUUAGGGCCCCUUGCCAUCGGAUGUGCCCGGAUGGGAUUAGCUAGUAGGUGGGGUAACGGCUCACCUAGGCGACGAUCCCUAGCUGGUCUGAGAGGGUGACCAGCCACACUGGAACUGAGACACGGUCCAGACUCCUACGGGAGGCAGCAGUGGGGAAUAUUGCACAAUGGGCGAAAGCCUGAUGCAGCCAUGCCGCGUGUAUGAAGAAGGCCUUCGGGUUGUAAAGUACUUUCAGCGGGGAGGAAGGGAGUAAAGUUAAUACCUUUGCUCAUUGACGUUACCCGCAGAAGAAGCACCGGCUAACUCCGUG
rnacentral:rRNA from 1 species